ACGAAACACAUAAUCCUGACAAGCUUCCAACAAUUGCAGUUAGGCAGGUUUGAUGGCGUAAUUGCCACCAUGUUAUGGCUGCAUGCAUAUGAUGCCUCAUGCUUCCAUGCAUGCAGAAAAAUACUAAGGUUUCUUGGUGGUGGCGGCGAGAUGUUUGAGAAGAAGACGAGAAGUAGGGGGGUGGGUUGAGCGGAGGGGAGGCGGCAGGCGGCGGCGAUGCUGGGUGGCGUCGGCAGCGUUGUAGAUUUUUUAGAUGAUUUAUAAAUUUGUGAAUGAUUUUGUUGUUGAGUAUGUUCAUUCGAUCUGUGAUGUCUGAUUUGUGAAUCUGUAGAUGUUUUUAUUGUUGAGUAUGUUUAUCUGAUCUCUGAUGUCAAUUUGAUGUGAGGAUUUGGGUAUUUCAAUAUACAAGCAGCAAAAAACAAUGAAAAAAACAUCAUUUAGUCUCGGUUGGUAACACCAACCGGUACUAAAGAUGAUAGCAUCAGUCACAUGGUGAUACCAUCUUUAGUUCUAAUUAGUGUUACCAACAGGGGCUAAAAAUGAAUCUU